rnacentral:rRNA from 1 species
GAUGAACGCUGGCGGCGUGCCUAAUACAUGCAAGUCGAGCGAACGGACGAGGAGCUUGCUCCUCUGACGUUAGCGGCGGACGGGUGAGUAACACGUGGAUAACCUACCUAUAAGACUGGGAUAACUUCGGGAAACCGGAGCUAAUACCGGAUAAUAUAUUGAACCGCAUGGUUCAAUAGUGAAAGACGGUUUUGCUGUCACUUAUAGAUGGAUCCGCGCCGCAUUAGCUAGUUGGUAAGGUAACGGCUUACCAAGGCAACGAUGCGUAGCCGACCUGAGAGGGUGAUCGGCCACACUGGAACUGAGACACGGUCCAGACUCCUACGGGAGGCAGCAGUAGGGAAUCUUCCGCAAUGGGCGAAAGCCUGACGGAGCAACGCCGCGUGAGUGAUGAAGGUCUUCGGAUCGUAAAACUCUGUUAUUAGGGAAGAACAAAUGUGUAAGUAACUAUGCACGUCUUGACGGUACCUAAUCAGAAGGCCACGGCUAACUACGUG